rnacentral:lncRNA from 1 species
GGUUUGCCACCCACAGGAUGAGGCCAGGGAGGGUUUCUGUACAGGAACAGACCCCAAGGCAUCUCCCCAAGAUGACCACAGUUGUCCCUGAAGAAGCAGUCACAGCAAGCUCACUUCACAGGAACCAAGCUGUGGGCUGAUCCUACAGACUUGAAAAGACAACUCAAAAAGAUUGUCUGUGGGGUCAGAAACAGCUCUGGAGGGGUCUGCAGAAAUUACUUUCCCAAGUCUUUGGGCUGGAAGGAACGAACAGUGCCUGACCAAGGACUUUGAGCAGGAGAGAGAUGGGAGCAGAGAGGAGCCAAGGUCUACUAUUUUCACUUCUGUCAAUUAGAUCAAAGCCCUGCCCAGAAGCUUUGAGCGCCGCUGUCAAGUCCCAUUCCUCCCCUAAACCAUCCAGGUUCCAUCUGCCUUGAAGCCAAAGGAUCUUCUUAGAUUCCUCAAGAAAAAUUCAGGCCCCGAGUUUCUCCACCAGCACUCUCCUCUCCCCGAAGGAGUGGGUGGGCUGCAUUUCUCUUCAUAUUCUAUUCCAUUCCAGACCGUCUUGGACUACCAGCCUGUCCGCCACCCCUCGGGGCCCUCCCUCCUACUCUGCCCUUGCCCGCUGAGGUCCCAAGCUGAGGAGAUGAGCCGAGCAGUAAAAAGAGAGGAGGUUUGGAAAAGCAAUGUCCUCUCAGUCUUUAAUAGGUGGCCCCCCUGGGAACCUGCUGGAAGUGGAAGUUAAUAAGCUGAAGGUGGUCACAACCAAUCUCUGCCACACUCGCACCCUACCCCACCCCAAAUCAUUCCUUUUAAUUAAUAGUGGAAGACCUUUUUAAAAAUGUAACAUGAAUUGGCUAUUUCUUGAGGCAAACAAAAGGUGGCUCUGAAGCGAUAUAUUUGUACUCGUAUAAAUUCAUUAAAAUAGAAAG